UACGUAGGUGGCAAGCGUUGUCCGGAUUUAUCGGGUUUAAAGGGUGCGUAGGCGGUCUAUUAAGUCAGUGCUGAAAUAUCCCGGCUUAACCGGGAGGGUGGCAUUGAUACUGAUGGACUUGAGUGCAGUCGAGGUAGGCGGAAUUGACGGUGUAGCGGUGAAAUGCUUAGAUAUCGUCAAGAACACCGAUAGUGAAGACAGCUUACUAGACUGUAACUGACGCUGAGGCGCGACAGCGUGGGGAGCAAACAGG
rnacentral:rRNA from 1 species